rnacentral:rRNA from 1 species
GACAAACGCUGGCGGCGUGCCUAAUACAUGCAAGUCGAACGAGAGCGACCGGUGCUUGCACUGGUCAAUCUAGUGGCGAACGGGUGAGUAACACGUGGGUAACCUGCCCAUCAGAGGGGGAUAACAUCCGGAAACGGAUGCUAAAACCGCAUAGGUCUUCGAACCGCAUGGUUUGAAGAGGAAAAGAGGCGCAAGCUUCUGCUGAUGGAUGGACCCGCGGUGCAUUAGCUAGUUGGUGAGGUAACGGCUCACCAAGGCCGUGAUGCAUAGCCGACCUGAGAGGGUGAUCGGCCACAUUGGGACUGAGACACGGCCCAAACUCCUACGGGAGGCAGCAGUAGGGAAUCUUCCGCAAUGGACGCAAGUCUGACGGAGCAACGCCGCGUGAGUGAAGAAGGUUUUCGGAUCGUAAAACUCUGUUGUUAGAGAAGAACAAGUGCUAGAGUAACUGUUAGCGCCUUGACGGUAUCUAACCAGAAAGCCACGGCUAACUACGUG